AAGUCGUAACAAGGUUUCCGUAGGUGAACCUGCGGAAGGAUCAUUAACGUAUUCUUCGGGGCGGUCCCGAGUCGGCCCCGCACCGGCGGCGACGCCGUGCUGCGGGCCAUCGGGUCCCCCCUCCAAACCAAACCCCUGUGCACCUUUGGGAAAGGCUUGCGCCCCGCGCGCUCGCCCGUCCCCUCUCACAAACUCUUUGUCGUAUCAUUCAGAAUGACCGCGGACACGUCCGCCAAACAAACAAACAACUUUCAACAACGGAUCUCUUGGCUCUC
rnacentral:misc_RNA from 1 species